UUUUUUUUCCUGAUAAGGUAUAUGUAUUAGUUAUAAAUGAGGAAGAGAAAAUAAAUAUUAAUUAUUGUGGAAAAUGUAAUAAUAAUGGUUACUUUAAAAAGUUCCUUAUCAUAAGAGACAAGACAAAGAUGGCAACUUUAAAGAAAUGUUUGACGUAAGAAAUGAAAUAAAUAUGAUGGCUUUAGUGGGAAACAAAACCAAAAAAAAGGUGACUUAAAUAUUUAGUGUGGGAAACAAAAUAACUAUGGCAGUUUAACAAGAGUUUCGGAAUAAUAAUGUCAAUUCCAAUGAACAUUUAUAACCUAACAAUAGUGAAAUGUCGAAAUUAAUUCCAAAAAGAAAUACAUUAUCUAUCCUUUUAGCUGGAAAACUAAACAAUAAUGAUGGCUAUUUCAAGAAAUGAAACAACUUACCUGCUCAACCAAAUACAAAAUAGAUGCAGCAAGCCACUUACUUAAAAUGGUCACUGCACACCACACAUGAAAAUCAAAAUGGCCGCUUCCUGACCCACUGCAUAGAAAACUCAAAAUGGCCGCUUCUCAGCUCGCCUCACCAAAAACUCAAAAUGGCUGCUUCUUGGUCUGCCUCACUGAAAACUCAAAAUGACCGCUUGUCAGCUCGCCUCACAGAAAACUCCAAAUGGCUGCUUAUUGGCCCAUCUCACAGAAAACCCCAAAUGGCCGCUUCUUGGCCAGCCACACAGAAAACUCCAAAAUUCCUAAGGAGUGGUCAAAGGAAUUUUGGCCUGCCCUCACCUUCAAACCUCACUCCUUAGGGGCCCCGACUCUUAACAUACAAAAAAAGAGAAAAAUUCUCCGCAAUGUAAGCUGGUUCUAACCUCCCCUUCAACCUCAGUGACUGAAAGGGCCCUUCCACAGCCGGUGGCCCACCUUCCCCCUGCGCGUCACCAUCCCUGUGAAGUCUAUUUUCAGCCACCCCUACGACCCUCUUCAGCUGGGAUCCUAGCUCAGGGUAAGCCUACGUCCCCUCUAUGACCCCCUUCCCACUGGGGUCCUAGUUCAAGGGGACCCUACUCCCCUUGGGUUGGGAACCCUCCCCUUCCCUGGCUUCAGAAAAGGGGCACUCCCCUACACGGUGGCCACUUUGUUCAGUAUAGGACUAUUUUCUCCCACCCCCAAGGUCCUAGUUCCUCAGGGAGUAGACUCCCCUAAUCUAUCCCUGAGGAACAGUCCUCCAGGUAGUUUGAGCUAGCAGUUGGAGCUCUACUCCUCACUGGGAAAGCCCGCCCCACUAACCCCCUCAGGUAACCCUAUGACCCCCCAGUGGGAUCCUAGUUCGGGAUACCGAGUGUGUCCCGCUCUAUGACCCCGCAGCGGGGUCCUAGUUCAAGGGGUACAACUCAGGCCAAGGGCUCAAACCACUCCUAGGAGCCUCCAAUCACCGGAGGAAGGGGAGCCUAUGUGGGUAAGGGCAGCUAUAGGUUGGCAUUCCCCAUCUCCCCUACUCCCGGGGGUCCAUAGGGGUACAUGCACUCCACGACAACACUCACUUCCUACAAUCUGUGUAUUUCUCUCAAGCCUAAUUCAAAUGCAAAAUAUGUGCGUUAGCCGUAUUUUGAGCUCCAGAAUGUAGCAACCUUCUUGCAGUUAAUGCCAAAACUAAAACUUAGAGAACUAAAUGGUUGGUACGUUCAGGUCUUUCCAGACUCCAAAGUGAGACCAUCAAAAGAGCAGAUUCUAAAAUAAUAACUACAGCACAAAUAUAAAUGUAUAAUCAUGGCUAUUUCUGAUGUACUUUAUUGAUUGAAAUGAAUAUUUCAGGUAGAGUUUUCAACAUUAUAAACAGAGACAAGAGAGACAAGAAGAACAAAGCAUCACACAGUCUUUAGACUGUCUAAAGACUUUUAGAACUGAAGUUCCAGUUGGUAGAUAAUAGAAAGUGAAUCUUUCAUCAUGUGUUUGGAUAAUACCAUGAUAGACUUGCCAGACUCUUAGUGGGCAUGAACAAGGGCAAAGCAGACGAAGAGCAAAGGAGAGUAUUUCCAGCAAUAGACUGAUCUUAAUUACAUGCCGGAGUGGUCUUGUGAGGCUUGUUAACCUGUGCCUGACCUUCUAUAAUAAUUUCUCCUGACAGCAACAAGGAUGUGUCAGCCUGAACCCCUUGGGGGCUGCACUUGGGGGCACAGGCAUAGUCUAUGCACGCAUAGAGGUGUGGGAAAUGAAGGUCUGUACCUACAAAAGGGAUUUAGUACCCCAAAAACAUAUGAUGGGCUGGCACAUGCCCCAUCUGGCAGCCCCUGAGUCUCCCCAGGAAAAGCUGGGUGAGGUGGCAAGUGACAUUGGAACUCCCUGUGGAGGGGCAGAAGUUCCCUCCUACCAUGCUGCCUGGCCUGGGUCAGGAUAAAAAAGAUGGGCUGCUUUACAGGGGCACUGUGGGGAGGCUGAUAAGGCUUCUCUAGUUCCUGGCCAACUUGAGAACCAGCCAUACCUUAAGGUGAGGUGACUUUUGCUUUGAUCAACAAUUAAGCAAAGGAACUAGGUUCUAGACAUAUCUGAAAGUGAUAUUAAAACACAAAUGAGAUUAGAUGUUUGGAUUCAAAGUGAUAACUCACUUAUUUUUUCAUGAAGGAAGGAUAAAAAGGAAACAGAAAAAUAGGAAAUUUCCAAGAAUAAUGACGAAUACCACAGGAAAGGGAUUACCAGGGGUCCAGCACUGGCUUAUAGAGUGCAUGGGGAAUAUCUUCAUGGGGCAUGAUGGGUCUUUCCCUGGUGAAGCUCCUCUGAGAGCUGGCCAGCAAUCCAGCAAGGGAGCUGAGCCAGGCAGCCCGACCAGCGGGGGAUGGGGCAGGGGUUGAGGGAGGAGGAGGGGAAGGACAAACAGCUUUGUAGGAGCAGCCAGAACAGUGAAGGACAGCAAAGACAGUAAAGACUCCAUCACUUUGAUAAGUUUUUAGACAUGGGGGCAGGUUAGCCACAUCCAUCAUAACUUUAUUUGCUCCCUUGAGGUUGGCUGGUUCAUUGGUGUUCAGGAGAAGUUUGCCUGAUGUUUCGAAGUUUAUUACUUACUCUGCUGAUGUACCAAGUACAAGCCCUUCUAAUGACUUGAAACAGGAUGCUUCAUUUUCUAAAAUAUAGCAGUUUCUAAAGUUUUUGUUAGAGGCAGUUGAACACUUUAACUUUCAAACCUUAAUUUUCUAAGAGGCAAUUGAGAAACAUUCCUUACUUUUUACUCAUUCCCUACACCAGGCAAGACCUGGAGCAAAGCACGAAUGAGUGUGAGGCUGUGCAAGUGAGGACCAGGGGUGCCAGGGCCCAGUGGUGCCCUGCCCUUUCACUUGCUAGUGAAAGGAGGAACUUGAGGAGGAGUAGAUUGAUGGUGCAGGUCAACAACCACUGUUGCAGCUGGUCUUGAUUAAAACUUCAGCUUUUAUGACCACAGGGCCAUUUUGAAAGAUGAAGGAUGGUUAGUUGGUCCAACAUGACUGUGACAAAAGAGCUUCUCAUGUCUGUCAAGUCUGGGCAAGAUAGUGAGAAAGGUUUUGAACUAGAAACAGUCUUUUAGGCAAAGAUGUAGCUAGCAUGAGCCUAGGCUGCUUCAGUGCAGGGUGGGGUGGGGUAGGAAAAGGGGAGUUAACCAGUGCUUGGUACUUAGAGGUAUAGAAAGUGUGGGGGGAAGGGAGGUAUCAGCUUGAGCACGUCGGGCAUUCAGAAAGAAUGUGAGGAAUUUGAGUUCCUGAUACCCAGCCAAUGGGAUAAUGGGACAGGGACAACAGCGGUUGAGGAAGAGUAUAAAAGUUGGUGCAUUUUAGAGAGAUGUAUGGCUCCUCAGUGAGAUGCACCUGACUCAGAUGACUUGUUAUCAGUAAGUAAGUGAUGCUUUGGUGACUUUGUUCUCUUUCAACUUGUUACAGAUGGAUAGUGAGAUGAUUGGCGCUCGCAUGGGCAUGAAUACUGUGUGAAUAUUAAAAGAAUCUUUAUUGAGGCAUAGUUAUGUUAUUGUAGUUUAGAUGUCCUCUGUCCUCUCCAUAGUUCCCUUUCCUCCUCUCCCCCUCUGUAUUGUUGCCAUUAGGCAGCCUGGGUUGUCUAGGACAGGUAGAAAGAAGGUGGGCACAUGUGCCCCUUCCAUGGGGCAGUUGGGAACAGAAAAGCUUGUUUCUAAGGGGCAUGACAACACGUGGCCCUCCAAUCAAGUGACAAGAAAGCAGUCUCCACUGAUAAAUGGCAAAGAAGAGUUGACUGACAGACCUUGGGAAGGGGCCAGGGUGGCUGACGCAAUUGCUAGGGGUAUAAAACACUGAGCAUCCAUCUUGAAGAUGAACCUGCCACGCGGUAGGCAGCCAUGAAGGCUGUUCGCAGCACUGCAAUUUUUCCUUAUUGUUGGAAUCCAUGGAGUUAGAGGGUUUUUAGGAAAUGGUUAAAAAAGUAUAGGCCUCAGACUGAAGUUUUGUUAGCAUUGCAGAUACAGUAGAAAAGUUUCCCAAGCAGUAGAGCAUACGUGACAAAUAACAAUAGGCUUCUGUAGAAUUGGCUUUAGGAUGGCAGCAAGGUUAUUUAAUGUAUAUCUUUAGAAGGUUAGCAUGAAUAGGGCUCUGUUCUUUGUCUCUUAUGAACCAGUCAUUGUUUUAACUACCAUUACGUGUGUUUUAUAAGAUUGGAUAGAAUGCUUGUCAAUAUGUGUUGUUCUAUGUAUGAUUGGCUGAAAUCUAGACUGAGAUGGUUUUAUGUCAUUCUGUAUCACCCCACCUUCUCUGGCAUUCCCUGUGGAUCAGCGAGCUGUUAACAUCCUGUCUCCAUUGUAAAACCAUGUUCUGAGACUGAUGUGCAAAUAAUAAAAAAAGGCUCUUCACUGGUCUGGUUUGUCCAGUGUUGUCCAUAUCUGGACGUUUUGCAGUGGCAAGUGGGUUCCUUUCUUAAGACGUGGGUUCCUGACACAAUUGGACCUAUAUCUACCCUUUGUCCCCAUAAUUGGUGCCUGCCCGUGUGAGGAUACCACGUUCAAGGAUGUAGAUUGGAAGAAAAAAGAAAAAUCGUGGAUUUACCUGCUGCUGGAGACUCAAGUGUUAAUCAGGAGGACGGUAUCAUCUCUCCCACCGAAGCCAAGGAAUUUGUUGCAGCUGACCGGACCACUCCAUCUAAGAGACUUCAACUUCCAUCUGGUAACUGUUUCCCUUGAGUGCCCAGAUAACUGGAGACAGAUUGGAUAAUAUACGCAACCCCUGUGGGAGAGAGACCUUCUUGCCCAGUGGGGAGCCAGAAUUGACCUCCCAGCGGCUCCCCAAGGUUUUUUGGGCUGCGGUCACUGAAGAGCAUCCUACCCAGAAGCUGCAUUGGAAGACCAAUAAACCAGUAUGGGUAGAACAGUGGCCACUCAAUAAACAAAAGUUGAAGGCGCUCAAUGAGCUCGUCCAGGAGCAGCUGCUUAAAGGUAAUCUGGUAGAGACCGUGUCGGAAUGGAACUCCCCAGUUUUUGUCAUCAAAAAACCCAACAAAGAUAAGUGGCAGAUCCUCCAUGACCUCCGCCAAAUUUAUUAAGGACAUGGGUCCUCUCCAACCAGGGAUGCCGUCCCCAACGAUGCUCCCCCAAAAUUGGGAUUUGGCAAUUGUAGAUGUAAAAGAUUGUUUCUUUUAAAUUCCCCUACUUCCUGACAACGCCCCAUGUUUUGCCUUCAUGGUCCCCACCAUCAACCAUGAAGCCCCAAGGAAGCGCUACCAUUGGCGUGUUUUAACACAGGGAAUGAAAAACAGCCCUGUUAUCUGCCAGUGGUACGUGGCUUCCUUGUUGUCCCCAGUACAUACAGCCGCAAAAGACGCUAUAAUUCUCCAUUAUAUGGACGACAUACUUGUUUGCUCCAAUGGAUGACAUACUUACUCACGUACUUGACCUGACAAGCAAUGCAUUGAUUGCUGCAGGCUUCGAGCUUCAGCAGGACAAAAUUCAGUGGAUGCUGGAAGUACCUGGGUUUGGAGAUUAGCAGGCGGACCAUUGUGCUGCAAAAAUUGGUUAUAAAGAGUAAUGUUAAGACCUUGGCAGAUGUCCACCAGUUGUGUGGGUCUUUGAAUUGGGUAAGGGCCUUGGCUAGGAAUUCCAACCAACGACCUAGCCCCCUUUUCAAUUUAUUGAAGAGGGGAGAGGAGCUCAGUUCUCCUAGGUCACUUACCCAGGAGGCAGAGACAGCACUGGAGAAAAUCCAAAAGUCCACUUCAGCCAGGCAGGCCCACAGAUAUCAGCCGGGUCUGCCGUUCAAAUUUAUUAUUCUAGGAAAGUUGCCACACCUCCAUGGGGUGAUUUUUCAGUGGGACGAGUCACCCAAGGACAACGACUGAGGCUCGAGAGACCCUCUCUUCAUUAUAGAGUGGGUCUUCCUCGGCCACCAUAGGUCCAAGAGGAUGACACAGCCAUAAGAGCUGAUGGCAGAACUGAUCCGCAAGGCAAGAUCACAGAUCAGGAAGCUUGCAGGUUGUGAUUUUGACUGCAUUCACAUCCCCAUCCAAUUGAAAUCGGGCCAAUUCAAAAAGGACACAUCUGACAAACUGCUCAGAGAGAAUGAGAUGUUACAAUUUGCACUGGACUGCUAUACCAGCCAAAUCGCUGUUGAUCAGCUGGCCCACAAAAUUUUUAAUCAGGAUGUUCAAUUUUCCUUUUUUUUUUUUUUUUUUCGGCUCUUGGUUCAGAGACGAACCCCUCUGAAGGCACUGACCAUGUUUACUCAUGCGUCCAGAGCAUCUCACAAGUCUGUAAUGACUUGGAAGGACCGUCAAACCCAGCGAUGGGAGGCUGAUGUUACUGAGGUGGAAGGAUCACCUCAAGUAGCUGAAUUGGACACAGUCAUCAGGGCUUUCGAGAGGUUCUCUGAACCGUUCAAUUUGGUCACAAAUUCGUCUUACAUUGCAGGUGUAGUGUCUGGGGCAGAAAAUGCAGUAUUGCAGGAAGUGUCCAACAUUCCCUUAUUCAACUUGCUCUCAAGAUUAGUCAUGCUGGUCUCCCACCGAGAGCAACCUUUUUCGUAAUGCAUACCGACCUGCUGGGGUUCAUUGCAGAGGGCAAUCAAAGAGCUGAUGCCCUUGCCAUUCCAGUCCAGAUGGCCCCCACUCCCGGAUGUGUGCAGCCAAGCUAAGAUUAGCCACUAGCUAUUCCACCAAAACGCCCCUGGCCUUGUUCGAAAUUUCAGAUCACUUGAGAACAGGCAAGGUGAUUGUGGCUACUUGCUCUCAGUGCUAGUCCCAUCAACUCCCAUCCAUCAGCUCUGGUAUCAACCCCAGAGGCUUGUCUAGUUGUGAGGUGUGGCAAAUGGACGUGACACAUGUCCCAUCUUUUGGCCGGUUGAAUUACGUCCAUGUUUCCGUGGAUGCCUUCUCCAGUGCAGUCUAUGCUUCUGCCCAUACAGGGCAAAAAGCAGCCAACACAGAAAAACAUCUUGUGCAGGCUUUCUGUGUGGUGGGCACCCCCAAGGUCAUCAAAAAUGACAAUGGCCCAGCGUACAAAUCCAGGGAACUCAAGAGCUUCCUGCAGCAAUGGGGAAUAGAGCACAAGACCGGCAUCUCCUAUUCCCCGACAGGCAGAGCUGUGGUGGAGAGGACCCACCAGAGCCUAAAAAAGGUUCUGAAACAAAAAAGCACAGCAGUGGAGUCCCCACAUGUCCAAGGCACUUUUUAUGAUUAAUUUUUUAAAUUGCUCCUUUGACAACCUUAAUCCCUCUAUAGUGAGGCACUUUGGUCACCACAUACAGCUGCACCUGAAAGCCAGGCCUCCAGUCCUAGUCAAGGAUCCGGAGACCUGGAAGACAGAAGGGCCCUUUGACCUGGUAACCUGGGGAAGGGGAUACGCAUGUGUGUCCACUCCCUCAGGUUUGAAAUGGGCUCCAUCCAAAUGGGUCAGGCCCUUUCUUCCAAGGAAAGCACCGGUAGUCAGGGUUGUGACGCAGGUCAAGGAGGCCCGUUGGAGGAGGAAGCACAAACCCUUCAGCCUAGAUCUAGACCUCCUGGGGCAGAACCAACGUUUUUAAACUUGUUUCUCAAUUUUGUUUCUCUGUUGUUUCAGCAACCCCAACCUGAUGGCUCCCUCUCAAGCUGCUGUUAUCCUAUGGGGUCUCUCAGGUCGGGUGGGGCCAAUUUUCUGUGCUUUUAGUUCUUUUUAGUUGUAGUUUCAAUUGUGUCCUCCAUCAUUUGGAGAUUACUUUUCAUUAAUUUUUUUAAACAAUAAAGGGGGAGAUGUUGUGUUGUGUCUAUGUAAGUUGGACUGUUCUGUUCCCCCCUAUCAUGUAAUGGUUCUGCCCUGGUUCUCCCUUCCCUCCCUUGUGCUGCCAGUUAUCCCAACUCCUCCCCAGUUGCCUUGGAGAUUAAUGUACCCUUUCUCAAAUCCCUCCCCGGUGCCCUGUCACUCAGCGCUCCCACCCUUCUCUCUAGAACUCUCUAGAAACUUCUAGCUAGAGCGUUGAGUGAUUGGUUCAGAGGCCAGGGUCCCACCCUCAAGUUAUCCCCAUUGGUGUUCUCCCCAAGUCAAUCUUUUGUAUCCCACUCCCCUCUGAAACCCUAUUCGUCCAAGGACCGACUCCUCCCUUGUUUCCCUCCCUCCUUAUAAGCUGUUACAACUUCCCCCUCUUUCCCUUCGGCUGUCGGUUCCCCCUGGGACCCAAUAAACCUGGAUUCACCAUAGCUGGAGAGCGCUCUCUUCUUUUUCUGCUGACUUGGCCAUAAGCCAAGCCAUGUCCUACCACAAGGUAGUGCUGCUGUCAUAGCACAGAGCGGUUAUCUUAGGUGCUGUCCCAAACCACGGAGAUAGGGUGUUGGGAUUCAUAAAAUUAGAGAGGUUUGAGAAAGUGGUAAAAAAACUAGGCCUCAGACAGCAGAUUUGUGAACAUUGCUAAUACAGCGAAAAGUUUUCUAAGCAGUAGAGCAGAUGUGAGAAAUAGAACAAUAAGCCCCUGUGACUUGCCCUUAUAGGUUGCAACAAGUUUAUGUAAUAUAUAUCUUUGGAAGGUUAGUAUGAAUGAGUCUCUGUGCUUUGUCUCUCAUAAACAAGCCAUUGUGUUAGAAAAUAAGUCUCUUAUUGUGUUAACUACGAUUACGUGUGUUUCAUAUGAUUGGAUAGAAUUAUUGUCAAUAUGUUUUGCUCUAUGUGUGAUUGGCUGAAACCUAGGCUGAGAUGCCUUUAUGCUACCCUGUAAUACGACGUUUCCUUGGCAUUCCAUUUGAAUCAGAGAGCUGUAAACAUACUCUGUCUCCACUGUCCUAACAAUGUACUGAGACUGAAGUGUGAAAUAAACAGCUCACACCACUGA